AAAAAAUAUUAAAUAAUAUAUUACUUCUCCAUCUCAUAAAGUCUUGUGAUUUUAGUGACAAACCACCCAUCCCAAACUCCUCAAAGGCCCUUCAAAGGAACCUCCACUUCAUCUAGAGAAUGCUAGAAGGACCACUGUGGGAACAACUGUUCUUUGAAAUGACAGCUUUGGAGACAGAAAGACAGUAAGAGUAGAGUGCAUUUUGUACAAUGCAGGAGAUUUUAGAAGACAGCCAGAAACAUGGGUGAUGAACACAAUGCUUCUUCUAACCAGCAGAUGCACUCUCAAGAUUACAUCACACUUCUCAGAGAAGGGAAAUAGAGGAAUACUAAUAAAACACAUACACUUGUUUCAUAUUACACGUGUCUUGUGUAGCUUGGAGAACACACGUUCAUAUGUAUUGGGUACUGGGA